rnacentral:lncRNA from 1 species
AACAGUGUGCAACGUGCUCAAGUUGACACUUCAGAAAUGGAUUGUGCGUUGGGUCAUAUGGUGAGGGGUAAAUGCCAUUUCCCAGACACGACUGUAACCACUCACUGAGGAGGAAUGAGCACCAGGCACUUUGAAGUCUGAGGGAACCACAGAAAAGGUAUCUGUUUAGAUGGGCUGAGGGUGUUCCAGUCUAUAAAUGAUGCAGAGGGAUAUAACUACCACGAUGAAAAAUGAGGCUGAAAGGAGGAGCGGCAGUGGUCAAUAAUGCAAAUUUCACCCCUACAAUCAUUCCAUGGCUGCAAGCAUAUCUUGAUUUCUCCAAGUGAGACUAAGCUACAAACCAAUGGACUUGCUUCACUGCAACAGUGGAAAGAACAGCUGGAGAGGUGCCUGUGGCAUCAAAAGCAAAAAUUUUACAAGCUGGUUGGUUUACUGCCUCUGGCCUCUGAGAUCUGUAAGAGAAUAAAUGAAUUGCCCUGACAUCCCUGCCCAGCCAGAUCCUGGACGAAGAAUGAAAGGCUUCCUUGUACCACGCUGUUGUGUUCAGGACAUUGGAUCAGACUGUCCUGUGAAAUGAGGUAGCGCAACAAACACAAGUUUGGACAUUAGGAAAACCUUCCUGGUGUCUGUACUUCAUCAGUCUACCAAAGAGGAUGGUGAGAGCAACCCUCUUGCAGCAGAAGCACAAGAAAACGGUUAAACAAAAGGCACCCAUAAAAAAAUCACCAGCACAAUUUAACCAUUCAGUGAGAAGACCAUUGGAAGUAAUUGACAAGUUCUAAUAAUUGACAAUUAAUUGACAAGUUCUUGCACUAUUACCAUCUACAAGAUGGUAAUAGUGCUAUUUGCAUCUUCUGUGUAGCAUUUAGAGAUUUAGAUAAGAAAACACUAUAUAGGAGCUAAGGAUUUUUAUAAAAUACACAGAUAGUCUUUUCCAUUGUAAAUUCUCUCCAUUCGUGAUCCAUUCAAAUUAGAUUUCUCUCUAAAUUCUAACCAUGUAAGAUAUGUUACACAUAUGAAACACCACAAAACAUAGCUUUGGAGCUAUGCACUGUAUAGUAAUACGUGUUAUUUAUACACUAGGAUCCCCCCAUUUUCUUUCUGUAGAAAACAGAAAAUCUCGUAUACUCGAUUGUAAGCACUCAAUUUGCUAAUGUGCACAAAGGAAAUGUGCUAAUGUGCACAGAGGAAAAAGUAUGUUAAAAUGUUUCCUUUUAUUAACAGUGCAGAAUAACGGCAUAUGAGUAUUCUGAAAAUCAUUACUGAAUAUAUUCAGAUACAAAAUCCUUGCCAGGUCUUUCUGAAAAACAUGAGAAGUGUUUCAAGAAACACUGUCCAGUGACAAUAAUUUACUGUUAGUCUAAGUCAGAAAGCUGCAUCGUAUAAUGCAUUAAAUUAUUCUGUUCCUCUCUGCCUUUCAGUUAAAAUCAAGAAGAUGUACUUAAUAAGAACAGUGGGCCAUUUCUCUGGACUUUGCAACCUUCCAUAUUAUGCAUGAAUCUAUCCUGCAGCCAUUUGGAGAAGCACUGGGAGCAAAUGAAUUAUGAGUCAUGGGAAGAAUAAAAGACGUCACAAAUAUUGAAAUUAAAUGCA